ACCUGGGUGGCUCAGUUGGUUAAGCAUCUGACUUCAGCUCAGGUCAUGAUCUCACGGUUCAUUUCAUGGGUUCAAGCCCAUGUCGGGCU
rnacentral:tRNA from 1 species